UGGGGAAUAUUGCACAAUGGGGGGAACCCUGAUGCAGCGACGCCGCGUGAGUGAAGGAGUGCUUCGGCAUGUAAAGCUCUAUCAGCAGGGAAGAUGAUGACGGUACCUGACUAAGAAGCCCCGGCUAACUACGUGCCAGCAGCCGCGGUAAUACGUAGGGGGCAAGCGUUAUCCGGAUUUACUGGGUGUAAAGGGAGCGCAGGCGGUGCGGCAAGUCUGAUGUGAAAACCCCAGGCUCAACUUGGGGAGUGCAUUGGAAACUGUCGGACUGGAGUGUGGGAGAGGCAGGCGGAAUUCCUAGUGUAGCGGUGAAAUGCGUAGAUAUUAGGAGGAACACCAGUGGCGAAGGCGGCCUGCUGGACCAAGACUGACGCUGAGGCUCGAAAGCGUGGGGAGCAAACAGG
rnacentral:rRNA from 1 species